UCUUCGUGUAAGCGUGUCUUACGUAACGUAGGCGCGUCACCGAGCCCGCGUCCCACCAUAUCUCAUAACCAACCGAAAAGGACCCCGGAAGGGAAAAAAGAAUAAACACAACUUACAACGGAACAAAUGGCCACACUUUACGUGUCCCACAACUUAAAUGUCCUUAGAAAAAUGGAAUGCCAGAUAAUGUUUCCAUUCGUCUGCACUUAAUGCGAUAUUAUAUCUUUUGGACAGUGUUGCGACGUGGUAAAUUGUGAUAUGUUUAUUCUUUGGAUGAAAUCUCGUGUGAAUGUACAGCGGAAUGCUGUGAUAUUUCCUGGAUGCCCCUGUUUAGUUUCUGGCUCGCGAUUAUUUGUCGUAAUAGAAACGGAUGACUCAGUUGGCGUUAAGUGAUCACUGACGCCCACAAACACCCAUAAUGUGGGAAAAAUCGUGGGUGUGUAGUUUAGAAGAAAAGGUGCAUUUCGAAGAAACACUCUCAUUUAUGAUAUAAGUAAGAAAAAAAGAAAAAGAAACAAGAAAAGCUAGUAAGUAACGUGAGUCGUGGAUGAGUCUGGCCUCGAAAGAAAUAAAGAUUGGGGGCUGGAUUGAAUUUUUUAGGAAAUUUCAUGCAUCAUACGAAUGCAAAUAACUAGCAAGAUUGUGAAACUAUCAGCGUCGUAGCGGCCCAUCCAUGCUGCAGACAACUGUGUGCAGUGCCGUUUUACAUUAAAACCUUACAACCGAGCAUUCAACUUCAAUUUCUUGAAACAUUAAUAUCAUAUUAUUUUGUCUUAGAUUUAUUACAGCACGGUACCCUUUUAAAACUAAAAACCGAAUAUCUGACCUCAAUGUCUAACGAAAAAUAACGUUG